rnacentral:rRNA from 1 species
GACGAACGCUGGCGGCGUGCUUAACACAUGCAAGUCGAACGGAAAGGCCCGGCUUUUGCGGGGUGCUCGAGUGGCGAACGGGGGAGUAACACGUGAGUAACCUGCCCUUGACUUUGUGAGAACUUCAGGAAACUGGGGCUAAUACCGCAUAUGAGCUCCUGCUGCAUGGUGGGGGUUGGAAAGUGUCGGCGGUUGUGGAUGGACUCGCGGCUUAUCAGCUUCUUUGUGAGGUAGUGGCUUACCAAGGCUUUGACGGGUAGCCGGCCUGAGAGGGUGACCGGCCACAUUGGGACUGAGGUACGGAGCAGAAUGCUACGGGCGGCAGAGGUGGGGAAUAUUGCACAAUGAGCGGACGCCUGUUGCAGAAAUGCUGCGAGCGGGAUGACGGCUUUCGGGUUGUAAACAGAUUUCGACUGUGACGAGGAGUGAGUGACGGUACUGGGUCAAUAAGCAACGGCUAACUACGUG